AUAUAUUUAACUAUUUAGUGUAAUAUAUAUAUUUAAAUAGCCUUUUAGUUGUAUCAACAUUGCAUGUAAUCAGUACCUGACUGUCAAAUCAAAUUAAUUCAGUAAAAUUCAAAAACAUUUUGACAAAAUUUAUUGUCGCGUGACAUAGAACUUCGGCCAGCUGGCUGACAGUAACAUUAUUUUUAGAAGUUCAUCAAUUAUUAUUUUAAAUCUAGGAGCUUGCAUCACCCCUAUGUGCAAUAUUUAACGUGACUGAAAUGUGACUUUGAUAAAAUCAAAGAUGUGACUGAGCUCGGCUUUUACGUCACCUUUCUGACUUCUGCAUAAGCUGCUCUCUCACACUUGCCCCAGGUUCCCUGAUCAGGCAGUUGUGUCUGCCCUGGGCUGGGCUCAGAUCUGGCCUAACCUCAUUUAAGCAGCACAGUGAGCAAAACUUGCUGCUUGGCUGUCAUCACUGCUUUAGAAUUAUGGGGUGCAGACACUUCCUGUUAUGAGGUUUUUUUAUAGGCUUUGGUGAUGCCCUGUAUCUCUGUAUCUGGGUAAAGAUCUGUUUCCUCUUGUCUGUUAAUUGAAAGCUGCAGUAUAUUGGCUUGGUGGUGUGCGUGGCAUGCAGUUCAUGGGCCUUGUGGACUGAUAUUUUGUCAUGGUGAUUCUGGUUAGCCAGUUUCUGAGUUGGGGAUUCAUGGUCUCAGCAUCCCACAGCUGGUGUGCAGUGCUGCUGGUGCCCUGUCUUUGUGGGUUCUUAGAAUUGGGUUUUGUGAUUUUGCUCCUUUUAGGUUCCCAAGUCCCUAGUUUGGGUUCUCCAGUCUUCUGCAAAUGGGUCUGCCUUCUGCUACAUCUCAUCCUGGAGGCUGUCCAUCCAGUCGGCGGCCCAAGUCCUCCUGGUCUCUUGCUGACAGCAGUGUUGGGACUGUUGGUCUCGGGACAGAAGACCGGGCUUGAUGGAUGGGCAGCCCGGAUUGAAUUCUUCUGUCACAGACCAGGCUGUGUGAAAGCUAAUGCUUUUCACUUGAAAGCCACUGCAUCAUGCUCAGUGUAGGGGGGAGGCCUAGACUCACAGCAUAGGGCAGAGCUUUUCAAAUCUGGCCCUCGAAUCCAAAUCCAGGCCUAGUUUUCAAUUCCCGCAUGUUUAAUAAUUAUUGAUUCUGACUGGCCACAGACGCUUCACACCAGGCUCACGGGUAAAGGAAGGCUGGGAAAUGAAAAGUACUCGGCCCUUGAGGACCUUGACUUCAAUAGCCCUGGCGUAGGUUACACUGUGGAAAGGAUGGAACAACUAUAGGCUAUUGUCAAUAAACCAUUUGAUGGACUAAAGGUUACACAGUAUCAGGAAUAAUUAACAUGUUUACACAAAAGCUUAAAAUGCUAGACCCCUACUUUUUUGGUGACCAAAGCAUUUGGGUUUGGGGGGGUAUCUUUAACUACUGAAAGACUUAUAAUGAAAUUGUGCCCCUAUAUUGCCUCAGUGAUAACUUGAGGCAGAACCUUUGCAGCUUCUGACUCAUAGAAGAUAAGAUAUUGUUCUCCCUCUCAUACUCAUUGCUCUGGAUCAGAUAUCGCACUGUAUGCGCAUUUUAUAAGAGUAAUGCAGCAUGGUUACUCAGUAAUAAUUUGAAAUUAUAAAGGGCACAAACAAAUGAACUGGAAACAAAGUCCUUAUAACAGCUAAAGGGCACUGAGUAUACCGGCACAACCAAUGCGUCUACUGCAGUGCCAAAAGAAGCUUAAAAAUGUCACCCAAAACAGGAAAAGUUUCACUUCCUGUGACAAAGAUGAAGUGAAAAUUGGGGCACAUAUAAUGAACAGCAUACAGUGUUUUAGUGUAGUUAACAACUCAGCUCCAGCUUAUCAUAUUUGCAAAAUAAAAUGAUAAAGGUGAGGAUCUUUCUUUACUUUUUUUUCAUUGACAAGCAGUCUCACUAGAUACUUUUAACUUAAAUUAAUAACACCUCUGCAAUAGGUGUUACUAAUUUUUUUUCCCGGUAGCUGUGUUCCUCAGGUAGAAUGCAGUGUUCAGUAGCGUUUGACAGGGAUUUGACAUGUUGAGAUCCCAUGAGGAAAUACUGUCACAUUCACGAACGAUUUCACCUUUUGGGAGGAGGAGAAUAAAACAAGAAAAAUACAGAACAUUGCAUCACAUGCCCCAGAGACAUCUACAAGACAGAGCUUGCUUCUGAUGUAAACGUGUGGUCUUAUGUGUAUCCAAACGUGACAGACCAGGAAGUGAAGCAAUCUCAAACACUUAUGAAAACAUGGGGAAAACUGCAACCCAUAUUGGCUCAACAGCAUUUUAUUCUUCAAGGCGGGAUGAGUCCCGUAAUGUCAGGGACGGGUGACAAUUCUUCAGUCAGUGGAUUCCGAGCUAAAGGUGCGAGAGGAAACAGAAGCAGGAAUGGGAGCCUCCAGAUAAGGACUCUCUGACAACACUGCACUUCCUGAUCAGCACCGAUGGGCUGGCUAUCCG